rnacentral:rRNA from 1 species
CUUAGCGUCAGUUAUGUUCCAGGAGAUCGCCUUCGCUUUAGGUAUUCCUAGUGAUAUCUACGGAUUUUACCCCUACACCACUAAUUCCAUCUCCCCCUCCCAUACUCUAGUCUAGCAGUUUCAAAUGCAGUUCAAUGGUUGAGCCAUUGGAUUUCACAUC